CACCUGGAUGAACUUGUCCUCCGCAGAGUGCCGCUGCUGCUCUCUGAAGAGACGCGGUGUGCACGAGGCUGCAUGAAAACAUCCUGAUGA
rnacentral:sRNA from 2 species